rnacentral:misc_RNA from 1 species
UAAUAAGUGUUUUAUGGCACUUUUUAAAUCCAUAUCCACCUUGUGUGCAAUGUCAGUCGGUUUCUUUCGUCAAUGAAAAGGAUUGACCAAACAUCAACCUUAUUCUAAUUGAACUCUUUGUCUGAAAAAUAUUAUGAAUAAACUAAUUCAAAAUA